ensembl:lncRNA
CAAGAUUACCACUCUCCUUGGGUUAAAAUUCAAGCAAGAGUCAGUGCAACCAAGGUUAAAACCACAAACCCUCAAGUCAGACUGGCUAACUUCAAUUCUAGAUUCUACAUGCUUACUAAUCUGUCUGUAUUUCAGUUUCCUCAUCUGGAAAAUGAGUGUAAACAUAGCAUCCAUCUCAUACAUAUGUCAAGAGUAUUAACGAAGCUGAUUUACCUAAAUCUGUUCAAAAAGUGCCUGGCACACAAUAAAUGUUAAUGAAUGGUAUCUGACUUUAACAUUGACCCUGGAUACAGGGUAGUUGGUGGUCGGAUCCUUCAGUUCAGUUCAGUCACUCAGUCAUACACAACUGGGCAACUGAACUGAACUGACUGUUAGGUCCAUACCAUUUCUGUCCUUUAUUGUGCCCAUCUUUGCAUGAAAUGUUCCCUUGGUAUCUCUAAUUUUCUUGAAGAGAUCUCUAGUCUUUCCCAUUCUGUUGUUUUCCUCUAUUUCUUUGCAUUGAUCGCUGAGGAAUGCUUUCUUAUCUGUUCUUGCUAUGGAACUCUGCAUUCAAGUAAGCACAUCUUUCCUUUUCUCCUUUGCCUUUAAGUUCUCUUCUUUUUCUUAGCUAUUUUUGAUGUCUCCUAAGACAACCAUUUUGUCUUUUUGCAUGUUUUUUUCUUGGGGAUGGUCUUGAUCACUGCCUCCUUUACAAUGUCACAAACAUAGUUCUUCAGGAACUCAAUCAGAUCGAAUCCCUUGAAUCUGUUUGUCACUUCUACUGUAUAAUUGUAAGGGAUUUGAUUUAGGUCAUACCUGAAUGGUCUAGUGAUUUUCCUUACUUUCUUCAAGUUAAGUCUGAAUUUGGAAAUAAGGAUUUCAUGAUCUGAGCCCCAGUCUGAGCCCAGUCUUAUUUUUGCUUACUGUAUACAGCUUCUCUAUCUUUGGCUGUGAAGAAUCUUUGGCUGCACAAACAUGGCUGCCAAAGAUGCUUGGAUCCUUAUCUGACUUUUAUUUACAAUUUAGUAUGUCUCAGGGACUUUUCUGGAUUUCUCCACAUGUAAUUUUGUCCAGUAUUCAUAACAAUCCUAUGGAGAGAUAUUAUCCUGAUUUUCAGACUAAAAAGAUUCAUAUUCAUUAUCAUCCUUCUCCAUCAUAUAUUAAUCCAAUUCUAUACAGCAAGUAAUUCCUUCAUAUGAACUUGAUGAUGUAAACACAGGACAUUAAGCUAGAGAGAGAGAGAGAGAGAGAGAGAGAGAGAGAGUGUGUGUGAAAACAAGCAUGAGAAUAUCUGUUAACAGGAGCUGAGAUUACAGGCCAUCCCGUUUUUAAAUCUUGGCUCCAAUAUCUCCUCGAGACACAGCAGCACUAAAAUUUCUCUUAAUUUACCCUGUGUCCUCACAGCACAUUCCCACUUUGUCUAAAGUGAUAUUUUUUGUGUAAAGGACAAAGUCCUAACUUACUGUAUGGGAGAAUUCAGAGGAUUAAAGUCUCAG